rnacentral:rRNA from 1 species
GAUGAACGCUAGCGGCAGGCUUAAUACAUGCAAGUCGAGGGGCAGCAUGAAUGUAGCAAUACAUUUGAUGGCGACCGGCGAACGGGUGCGGAACACGUACACAACCUUCCUAUAAGUGGGGAAUAGCCCAGAGAAAUUUGGAUUAAUACCCCGUAACAUAAUGAUGUGGCAUCACAUUAUUAUUAUAGCUACGGCGCUUAUUGAUGGGUGUGCGGCUGAUUAGAUAGUUGGCGGGGUAACUGCCCACAAAGUCUACGAUCAGUAGCUGAUGUGAGAGCAUGAUCAGCCAAAGGGGCACGGAGACACGGGCCCGACUCCGACGGGAGGCAGCAGUAAGGAAAAUUGGUCAAUGGACGCAAGUCGGAACCAGCCAUGCCGCGUGAAGGAUUAAGGUCCUCUGGAUUGUAAACUUCUUUAUCUGGGACGAAAAAAGGCGAUUCUUCGUCACUUGACGGUACCAGAUGAAUAAGCACCGGCUAACUCCGUGCCAGCAGCCGCGGUAACAC